ACAUGCCUACAACAUACAAUUAAUGCACUAAAUCCCAUUAGAAAUCUGCAGUUAAUCACACUCGAGAUAGACUAUUACUUGGACAGUUGACUGCCUGGGAAGUCCUAGUGUUUUACAUGCC
rfam:Picea glauca, whole genome shotgun sequence.